UACGGAGGGUGCAAGCGUUAUCCGGAUUCACUGGGUUUAAAGGGUGCGUAGGUGGGUCUGUAAGUCAGUGGUGAAAUCUCCGAGCUUAACUUGGAAACUGCCAUUGAUACUAUAGAUCUUGAAUACCGUGGAGGUCAGCGGAAUAUGUCAUGUAGCGGUGAAAUGCUUAGAUAUGACAUAGAACACCGAUAGCGAAGGCAGCUUACUACAUGGAGAUUGACGCUGAGGCACGAAAGCGUGGGGAGCAAACAGG
rnacentral:rRNA from 1 species